UUCCGUAGGGUGAACCUGCGGAGGGAUCAUUACCGAGUUUACAACUCCCAAACCCCUGUGAACAUACCAAUUGUUGCCUCGGCGGAUCAGCCCGCUCCCGGUAAAACGGGACGGCCCGCCAGAGGACCCCUAAACUCUGUUUCUAUAUGUAACUUCUGAGUAAAACCAUAAAUAAAUCAAAACUUUCAACAACGGAUCUCUUGGUUCUGGCAUCGAUGAAGAACGCAGCAAAAUGCGAUAAGUAAUGUGAAUUGCAGAAUUCAGUGAAUCAUCGAAUCUUUGAACGCACAUUGCGCCCGCCAGUAUUCUGGCGGGCAUGCCUGUUCGAGCGUCAUUUCAACCCUCAAGCCCAGCUUGGUGUUGGGACUCGCGAGUCAAAUCGCGUUCCCCAAAUUGAUUGGCGGUCACGUCGAGCUUCCAUAGCGUAGUAGUAAAACCCUCGUUACUGGUAAUCGUCGCGGCCACGCCGUUAAACCCCAACUUCUGAAUGUUGACCUCGGAUCAGGUAGGAAUACCCGCUGAACUUAAGCAUAUCAAUAAGCGGAGGAA
rnacentral:rRNA from 1 species